UUUUUCUCUUAAAAACUUUUUCCCCUUCAUCAGUUUAUAACAUUCCUUUUAGUUCGAGUUUCAGAUCUUUCAAUGGAUUGCUUCUGUACUUUGAAAUACUGCGUCCAAAAUCCACUGGUGGUGACCAAUACUAACAAUCCCCGCCCUCACCAUCCAUCUCAUGUAAUAUGGGAUUUCAUUUGCAGUUCGCAGAUGGGCUUGAAAAGAUCAAGAACGAAAAAAAGAAAAGCCCAUAUCAAAACGCGGAGGAUUGUUCAUACAAAUUCUUAACGUCUAAAAGAAGCCACUCGUUCUUCCUCACUGGAGCGACGAUCCGGAGAUUUCUCGAAGAUCCGUUCUCUUGAUCAUCCUCUCUCUCAGAUCCAUCAAGCUGAUAACAAUGUCCGAUGAAGAAACGAAACCUUUUCUGAAGAGCAGGAUGUAUGAGUCGAGGUAUCCUUCGAGAGGUGAUAUUGUAAUGGGCAAAGUCAAGAAAAUUGAAGGGCGAGAAGCUGUAGUGUGGCUUGUUGAGUACAAGAAGAGUUGCAAGGUCGUUUUGUCUGCAACAGUACCUCCAGUUCGAGUACUUGCAGAGAAGAGGAUGGAGGCAUUUCGAGUUGCUGAUGUGAAUGUUGAAGAGAGGCAAAUCAUCCUUGAUGAAACACCGCUGUCGAAGGCUGAGAUGUGGGCGUUUGAGAAGCGAUUCAACGAGGCAAAGUUCGUCCAUUCCGUCCUCUUUAGUGUUGCUGAUGAUCUGCAUAUGAAUUUGAAGGAUGCUUAUAAACUUUGUGACUGGCCUUCCUAUGAAGAGCUGAAGACAUUGCACAGAGAUGAGAACUUCCUUGCUUGCAAGAAUGUCUCCUUCAGAAAGCUGCUUCUUGACAGGAUUGGUCUUAUGAAGUACAAUUCAUGGAGAGUGAACGAUCCAAGUCGGCUUCAAACAUCUUCACUCAAGCAAAUCCGUGACAUCUGCUAUGCAAUAGCUUUGGCACGUCAAGCAGAAGCAUUCUUUAAGAAGAGAGGAGAUUUGGGGAAGGAGGAACAUCUCUCAAUUCAACAUAUACUCAACAAAGGGGUUGACUAUGGGUUGGUCAGUAGAGAUUACACCCUCCUUGAGCUUGGAACAUUGGUGAAGAUAUUGCAACGAGAUGGUUUCAUUCUUGACACUGAUUGUCCCCUUACUUACUCUCUUGCUGGAACUCCCUCUGCGUCCGAUAACUCUUGUUCAACUAAAGAUCCUAUUCGUGUUUUCGAAGCUCCUCAAAUAAAAGUUAUGACUGCUGGAGAAGAGGUCCCAGAAGAAUGGAUGGUUGAGGAGAUGUUGGCUGAAUUAGAUGGAGGACCGCUCACGUUCUCUUUGCCUAUGUUCCCAUCCUACAAAACCAAAUCCAAGAAACUAGAUGACAUAUACAAGCCUACAGAAGAUGAGUUUGCAGCCUACAAGUUGGCUAAUGAUAAGGGCAAACCUUGCAAGCUAGAUUUUCAUACCAUGCUGCUUACAGGUGACGGUAUAGACAGGUAUGGGGAUCAGUAUCUUGAAUGUCAAGACUGUCUUGGUGAUAUAGAUAUUGGGGAUCGGGGUUACGUACGUUUUGCGGUCAAACCUAACACGGUAACAGAGUUCGUCUCUUUCAAGAAUGUUUGCAAUCAUGAUGAUGACUAAGUAUGAGAGAAUUCUAGCAUGCCUCGAGACCCUCAGUUAGAAAGAGAUCUGUUUCCUCAUGCAUUGUGUUGUGGUUUAAACUGAUACUUCUCGGAAACUUAGUGCUACAUUAUGGAACUUUGAAAUGUACAGAGAAGGACAUUUACCUAGAACCAUCUACCUGGAUGUCCUUCUAGGCAGAUGGUUCUGCAUGAUAAAGUUGAAAUUGAAGGAUUUCUCGAUCUUGAGGAGGGUGUUAAGGUCGUUUGGGUUACAUAGAUCUUUGGAUGAUGCGGUGAUGAGGUACCUGAUGAAAAACAAGAAAGAAAAAAGCAGUGCGUGUUUCUCUUAUGAUCCAUGUUGUAUGGUGUUUUGUUUUGAAUAUUUUUGUUGAAAGUGUGACGUUGAUAUAUACACUAUAGAAAUUAGAUAUUUGAUUUGAUAGAAA